rnacentral:rRNA from 1 species
AGCUUGCUCUGUGGAUUAGUGGCGAACGGGUGAGUAACACGUGAGUAACCUGCCCUUGACUCUGGAAUAAGCGUUGGAAACGACGUCUAAUACUGGAUACGAGCUUCAGCCGCAUGGCUAGGAGCUGGAAAGAAUUUCGGUCAAGGAUGGACUCGCGGCCUAUCAGGUAGUUGGUGAGGUAAUAGCUCACCAAGCCUACGACGGGUAGCCGGCCUGAGAGGGUGACCGGCCACACUGGAACUGAGACACGGUCCAGACUCCUACGGGAGGCAGCAGUGGGGAAUAUUGCACAAUGGGCGAAAGCCUGAUGCAGCAACGCCGCGUGAGGGACGACGGCCUUCGGGUUGUAAACCUCUUUUAGUAGGGAAGAAGCGAAAGUGACGGUACCUGCAGAAAAAGCACCGGCUAACUACGUGCCAGCAGCCGCGGUAAUACGUAGGGUGCAAGCGUUAUCCGGAAUUAUUGGGCGUAAAGAGCUCGUAGGCGGUUUGUCGCGUCUGCUGUGAAAACUGGAGGCUCAACCUCCAGCCUGCAGUGGGUACGGGCAGACUAGAGUGCGGUAGGGGAGAUUGGAAUUCCUGGUGUAGCGGUGGAAUGCGCAGAUAUCAGGAGGAACACCGAUGGCGAAGGCAGAUCUCUGGGCCGUAACUGACGC